rnacentral:rRNA from 1 species
UACGUAGGGUGCGAGCGUUUGUCCGGAAUUAUUGGGCGUAAAGAGCUUGUAGGCGGUUUGUCGCGUCUGCUGUGAAAAUCCGGGGCUCAACCCCGGACUUGCAGUGGGUACGGGCAGACUAGAGUGUGGUAGGGGAGACUGGAAUUCCUGGUGUAGCGGUGAAAUGCGCAGAUAUCAGGAGGAACACCGAUGGCGAAGGCAGGUCUCUGGGCCACUACUGACGCUGGAGAAAGCGAAAGCAUGGGGAGCGAACAGG